rnacentral:tRNA from 1 species
CAAAGAGUAGCUUAAACCUAAAGCACUUAACUUACAAUUAAGACAUGUCCACUCACUAUGGACCCCUUUGC